rnacentral:rRNA from 1 species
AGAUUGAACGCUGGCGGCAUGCUUUACACAUGCAAGUCGAACGGUAACAGGCCGCAAGGUGCUGACGAGUGGCGAACGGGUGAGUAAUGCAUCGGAACGUGCCCAGUCGUGGGGGAUAACGCAGCGAAAGCUGUGCUAAUACCGCAUACGAUCUAUGGAUGAAAGCGGGGGACCGAAAGGCCUCGCGCGAUUGGAGCGGCCGAUGUCAGAUUAGCUAGUUGGUGGGGUAAAGGCCCACCAAGGCGACGAUCUGUAGCUGGUCUGAGAGGACGACCAGCCACACUGGAACUGAGACACGGUCCAGACUCCUACGGGAGGCAGCAGUGGGGAAUUUUGGACAAGUGGGCGCGAAGCCUGAUCCAGCAAUGCCGCGUGCAGGAAGAAGGCCGUUCGGUUGUAACUGUC